rnacentral:rRNA from 1 species
GAUGAACGCUGGCGGCGUGCCUAAUACAUGCAAGUCGAGCGAACGGACGAGAAGCUUGCUUCUCUGAUGUUAGCGGCGGACGGGUGAGUAACACGUGGAUAACCUACCUAUAAGACUGGGAUAACUUCGGGAAACCGGAGCUAAUACCGGAUAAUAUUUUGAACCGCAUGGUUCAAAAGUGAAAGACGGUCUUGCUGUCACUUAUAGAUGGAUCCGCGCUGCAUUAGCUAGUUGGUAAGGUAACGGCUUACCAAGGCAACGAUGCAUAGCCGACCCGAGAGGGUGAUCGGCCACACUGGAACUGAGACACGGUCCAGACUCCUACGGGAGGCAGCAGUAGGGAAUCUUCCGCAAUGGGCGAAAGCCUGACGGAGCAACGCCGCGUGAGUGAUGAAGGUCUUCGGAUCGUAAAGCUCUGUUAUUAGGGAAGAACAUAUGUGUAAGUAACUGUGCACAUCUUGACGGUACCUAAUCAGAAAGCCACGGCUAACUACGUG